AAGGGGUUGCUGCAGAGGGAGGAAGAACUCCCUGCAUCUGGGACACCUUUGCACACGAAGGGAGAACAGAGGACAAAAGAACUGGAGACAUAGCAGCUGAUCAGUAUCACAAGUACAAGGAAGAUGUGAAGUUGAUGCAUGACAUGGGCCUGGAUGCCUACAGAUUCUCUAUCUCCUGGAGCAGU